rnacentral:rRNA from 1 species
AUGUACCACCAGCAGUUUGAGAUACUUGAUGAGGCAGAAGUCACAUGGAACCCGUGGACUCAGGACCAGCUACAAAUGGUCUUUGAUGCUCGACCCUUCACACCAGGCAUCUUGAGCGAUAGUGCAUUCUGGCUGACUCGCUGCAACUUAUUGUUCCUAUGGUGUGUUGAGCCUUACAACCCAGAGCGUGUCAUGAGACAGUUCGGUCUCUAUCAAGAAAUUCCACCACCUUUUCCAAGACGUAUCGAUGAGGAAACCCAUAAAUAA